ACUAGUCCUCCAUCUUAGUUCAUACUGAUUAUUCUUCACGUGUCUGCCUAUCUCAGUUUUCAUGCUCCUUCUCUUCCUUCCUCUCUCCCCGCUUCUCUCUCUCUCUGUCCCGCCACCUUCUCCACUCUGCGACCAGCAUUUGGCUUUUUCCACUUGUGGCAGAUUACUGUAAGGCUAUUGUAAAACAACUUCCUGCCUCUUUUGGCUCUGGUUCCAAAAAACGGCAAAGGCUGGGCUCACGCGUCUCCCCCUCUCUCUCCCCGAAGUAUCAGAAGGUCUAAAAAGAGAGAAAGCCAGAAAAAGGAAAAGUGUAAAAUCUCUGUCUCCUCUUGAGGACUUAUUUUGAUGCCUUGUGUCUUUAAUGCCACAUGAGAAGUAAAGGAGGAGAGCAGGGGACUGCAUGCCUAGCAGAACGGAAAGAACAGCAACACCGGACCGACUGGAGGCUCCUCCGCUAGCUCACUCCGAGGACUCUCUCCUCUCCUCCUCUCUUCAUGACAAGGUUCAAUAAGACACAGGUGGCCACAUUCAAUGGACCUGCAGAGGGAAAAAACAUUGUUUGUAUUUACUUACUGAAGACAUGGUGCAAAACCAAGUUCGGGCAUUAUUACCAGUCUCUCUAGGCUUCUUUUUUAAAAAUGACACAAAAUGGGUUGGAUGUGUCUGCAUUGGAAUGAGCUAGAACCCUAAAACCCUAGAACCCAAUCCAAAGCAACGCAGCCUCACGUCACAUCUCGCCAUGCGUUUUAACCAAUUGAAAAACUCACGUCUUUGUGUUGAAACAUAUAGGUUUAAACAUACAGUUUGUGGAUAAUGUAGAUAUAUAUUAAGAAUAUGUAUUUUUGAAUGCACAAUCCUGCACAGUUUCAGUAGAGGACAGACAGUAGGGAAAAUGGACAUGGAACUAUGAAUUUGUUUUAGUUGUUGGUUUGGAACGGUCUGUAGUAAUAAUUUAGCUUAGUGUGCAUGUAGCACAGCAUUUGCAAGAAGUUCACUUGAGGAUAGGGUUUUGGUUUUGGGAGGAUGCCAACUUUUAUGACUGCAUGCCUCUACCUCGUUCCCCUCUUCUCUACUCUGGUUGCAUUUGUCUGUAAUGAAUUAUAUUUAAACAUGUAUUUAUAUAUGUAAUUAUAUAUGUAAUUAUUAUAUUUUAAUUUGUGUUUUAGAAUUAUAAAUUAUUUUAACCAUGCUUUCUUUAAACACAUUUCAAAUAAUAAAUUAAGCUAUUUUAAGGCACGUUUUAAUAUUUUUUUUACUUAAAUAUUUUUUAAGGAAUGCUUUCUUACACAGGUGUGUAUAAGAACUUUAUAACAAUACCAUUAAAAAAAACAUGUCCUAGUACUACAGAAAGGAAGCGUGGAGGGAGGACAGGGAGGUAAAUGUAACUUUUCCUUCUGUAGUAUAUUUGAAGGGAUUUCUUAACUCUAUUGUUAAUAAUUACGAUAUGCUAUGAUAUGACGUGUCCUAUUCAAGGAAAUGUUCAUUAAAAUGGCGGACGCUGCCAUGUCAUUUACAGGCUUCAUUCGGAAUUUUAACGUAUUGUGAUACAUUCAAAACUUAACCUUGCUUAAUAAAAUGUAUUCCUGUACUACACAUUUACAAAAAGUGAACUACAACGUCUCCAGGAAAAAUCCUCACACAUUUAGUUUCUGUCUUUUAACCCUUAAAUUAACAAGCUGGUUAUACAUUUGUAAGGAAGUAUUUGGAAUAACAAACUCAUAAUUCAACAGAAAAAACUAAGCACAAUCAAAAUGAAAAUUGCUAUGUGGUCUUAGAUAACUUAAAAUCUAUGACAAAACAACUAAAAUAGUAUCCAAUAAUUUCAUAUGUAGUUGCUGUACAGAUUAAUAAAUGCAUUCAAUGUUAACCACUAUGUAUAAUGUAUAUCACUAGUAUAUAUGGUAAAAACAGGUCAUGCAAAUAUUAUUUUCUCCAACUGGUCCUACAGAAAAUUAUAACUUCUGUUAGUAUGCAUGUUGGAUCUUAUCAUGGUAAACAAAAAAAUAUGUAAUACAUCAAAUGUUUAUUUUGGGAUAAUAACAAUUCCUGAUCAUGCAAAAUGUAGGCUGUUGGAUUCUCACUUCUUGCUUUUCUCAUGUGUUAUGAAUAAUUAACAAAAUAAAAGGGUCGGCCAAGGGAAGAUCAAACUCAAUGCAACAUAUUAUCUUUGCAAAAGAAGGACAAGAUAGAUCUAUGUACAACACCACAUCUUUAUUUUCUGCACAGGGGGCAUAAUCAUGGCAUUCUCUGAUUUAUCUCAUUGAAAUGUCUUUUGUUUUUUGCCUCACUUUAAAACGUUUUGUGCUCCAUCAUUUUUAUACAUAAUUUGGAGUCACAGAGUAACAGUCACAAGGUCUCUUUAUUUUCAAAGCUGUCAUACCUAACACUUGGUAUUCCAUGCAGGUCACAUAAGGAGAGUCGAGGACACAUGAUUAGGAGCCUGUUCGCUUGUCUUUAGUGUCUAGAAACACAGGAAACAGCCAGGAAAGGAAGGCUGAGGAAUAUGAAAUUGCAGUGGGCAGUAGCGCCGCAUAGGCAAACAUGAUCUACACUCCUUUACCCAUUAACCACCAACAGGAGUACAAGCCAGAUUUCUGACUGUGCAGGAUCAGAAACUGCAAUGCAUCAGAAUACCAGGCACAUACAGCUGACACAUCAGACAGAAACAAUUGAUAUUCUAUAGCAGGGUUCCAAAACAGGUGGCCUGCGGGCCAACUUCGGCCUUCGGGUGAUUUUAUUUGUUUUUUUUCUGAUCAAAAAUAAUAAAAAUAAUAAUACAAAAUAAAAACUAUAUCAUUUUCAUUGUUGGACAUAAAAGACUUUAAAAUCACCAGGAAAUCAGCUUAAAGUGAUUUUAAUUAAGAAAAUCUGUUCCCAAGUAUUCCCACGCAUAAACAGAGGCAUACAGUAUGUGAUCGUAUCCCAAUGUUAUCAAGGUUUGAAAUGAUUCUGUUUUUGUCAAAUACUAUGUCUGUUUGGGAUUAUUGCGGUCAAUUUGCAGUCUACAAAUUAUUUGUAACCAUGUUCCGGCCCCCCGACCAUCCACUCAAGGAAAAAUUGGCCUGUGACUGAAUAUAUUAGGGACCCUGUUUUAAAGGAAGCUAAUCAGGAGGAUAGCACCAACCCACAAGGCCGGAUGGCCCUACGUACGCAGGGAUGAAAGACUUGGACUCCCUCUCUAGGAACAGGGGCCGAGUGAGUCUAUGAGGUGGUCUUGCUUCAACCCGGCACGUGUCUAAACAACUUCUCUAUUACACCUGACCUCUGAGGGCACUCCCCAUCGAGCAGGGAACAAAGGCCAUGACCCUGGGGUCAAAAGUGUUAUACGGGAGGCCCAAUGAGGAACCCAGUGCUGUUUGCUUUAAGAAGGUAAAGAUGACUAACACAUUAACUAAUGCUGAAUAGGGGAUUAUCCCCGAGGGACGUCACUCACAGGGUCUACACAUCACGUCUUAUUAACACCCCUGACCUCUGGCCCGUCACCUCAGGCAGCUGACUGCGACCGCCACUCUCCCUCUCUGUCUAUGUGUAAGGAUAACACGCACACAUACGCACGCACACACACACACACACACACACACACACACACACACACACACACACACACACACACACACACACACACACACACACACACACGCACACACACCCACACACACUACAAGAAUGUUGGUAGGGAUGGGUGCAACGUUGCUUGAAAAAGUUUUUACAAUCACUAUAAUUACUGAUAAUCAAUUCUGAAUUACAAACAGUAAUACUUAAUAGUAGUAUUGCCAUGAGAAACAAAAUAUAAGAAACCUUUGAACUUUAUACCGGGCAUUUUGUUAAAUUUCAAGUCUUUGUUUUAUGUAUGAUUAGCACAUGUGUAUCUUUGACAUUUAAUUUCACAAUGAUCAUGAGUCAAGGAAUUUAUUUACACCCUACACAACAAUAGAUUCCCUCAAAUGGAUCCUCCGUGUUACUGAGCUGCAAGUGUUCCAUGGCACUUCAUAAAAUGGGAGCAUUUAGAUAAAGUUCUGAUCACAAAAUGGUGGACAGAAGACAUGCGCAGUGUGGAUAUCAUGGAUAAUAUUACACGAUAUGAUAGAUAGACCCUUUCAACAACACAUGCUUAUUCACACAUUUUCAAUUAUUACGUAUGUACUGAGUGGGUGACGUAAAUUAAUUGUGUCAAUGUGAAAAAGUGGAAGCUGACUUAACCCUGUAUCUCCUGACAGAUUACACCUACAUAUUCAUUAUUGAAACUAAACAAGCAUGGUUUCAUUUCAUUGGGUGUACUGUUACGUGCAAUACCUCAUAAUGUCAUGAUACCAUUUUCUUCUUAAAAACAAAUAUGAAAUGUGAUUAUUAUGUGUAUGAGGAAAUCAAUUUCUGAGAUGGUGAUGUUUAAGAAUUAAGAAUUUGCUUUGUUGUACACAUUUACACUUGAAUAUUGUACAAUCUUAAAGGAAAUUGUAUUCGUGAAAUAUGUUCUAUUCGUCACAUGUGUUUUCUUUUUAGAAAUGGGUUCACAGCUCAACAUAACAUUAUAAAAGUAAAGUAUUCAUUUGAAUUGAAAAUAGAAGAUAUAAUGUCUUUCUAAUGACAACACCAUUUUCAAUAUAUGAAUAAUGAAGGGCCUUUGGAAAAAAUAUCAAUACAUAACAAAUAACUCUGUAGCUAUAGCAAUGAAUAAUACAAUAAAUUAGUUACUGUAACAAAAUAUGUUGUAUACAUACCUCAAUAGAAAAAGGUGGAACGUUGUACCACAAAGAGCUUACACUUCAAAUCAAAUCAAAUUGUAUUUGUCACAUGCCCCGAAUACAACAGGCUUAGACCUUACAGUGAAAUGCUUACUUACAAGCCUCCAACCAUGCUUCAAGACGUUUUAAUAAAAAUAAGUGUUAGGUAAAAAAUUGAUAAGUAAAAAAUUGAAAAUAGAAGUAAACAAAAAAUUCAAUGGCAGCAGUAAAAUAACAAUAGUGAGGCUAUAUACAAGGGGGUACUAUAUGAUUAAUAUAGAAUGAAUACAUCAUUGGAAGUGCAUUGAUUAGAUAAUAACUGAUAUUACAAAUCAAGAAUGAAUAUCAACCGGGUAAGAAGAAAUAACUUCAAACCUAAAUUGGGCUAUUCCAAAGAAUCUGUCGAAAUUUGUCAACCACGUGUCGAAUUAAAAUCAGGUGCAUCUGCGUGUAAUUGUAACAACUGAUGCAACAAUAAACUGCCAUAUAGCAAGUCCUUCAUCUACAAUCAAACAUUGUGAUUUACAUUUUUUUAAGCUAAAAUAAUGAAUGUCUGCCAACAAGGUUAAGCAUUUUUCCAUGAUCAGAAUUUCAAAAAAGAUGGGAACAAAUUAUUUAUACGUAAAUUAUAUUGAAAGGAUUUUGAAAUAUCGAAAUAGCAUAUUUUUCCAAUAAAAAAUGUAUUCAAAGGAAAUAAGCUCGCACACACCACUCUGGCAAAGUAUCACUAAUUUACUUCCACGCCAACUUAUUUUCUUUGAAUAACUGUUUCACUCUUCCAAUGCACCUGCUAAGCAACAAGUAACACUCUCUUUAAUUGAAAUAAAACAUUAACAAGUAGAAAAUAAUCAUUGAAUUUAUGAAAAUUAACUGCACAGUAUAAUUUGUAAGCAAGGCUGCAAAUGAUACAUAUUCACUUCUAAUUGAAGAGGUAUGAACCUUUAUCAGUAACAUUUAACACUUUAACCUCUACAUCUGUAUAUCUGAAUGUAUUCAUCUGUGAAAUUCCAGCAAACCAAUAUGUUAUGGUCAUUAAACAAUGAGCUAUGUGAUUA